rnacentral:rRNA from 1 species
AUUGAACGCUGGCGGCAUGCCUUACACAUGCAAGUCGAACGGCAGCACGGGGGCAACCCUGGUGGCGAGUGGCGAACGGGUGAGUAAUACAUCGGAACGUGCCCAGUAGUGGGGGAUAGCCCGGCGAAAGCCGGAUUAAUACCGCAUACGACCUACGGGUGAAAGUGGGGGAUCGCAAGACCUCGCGCUAUCGGAGCGGCCGAUGUCAGUA